CGGCGGGGCGCGAGACGCUUGUGACGUCACAUCCAGCCUGAAAAUGGCGGCCGGUCGCUUGUUGUGUUGACCCCGAGAACACCAGAAAAAAUGGAUGGAGAACUUUUAUCCCUCAAGUGGAACAAUCACCGCACAACCUUUUACCACGUCAUUAGUGGCCUUCGUAAUAAGGAGACGUACACAGAUGUGACGUUGGCGUGCGAGGGCAAGUUUUACCCCGUCCACAAGUUGGUUCUGUCCACGUGUAGUGAAUAUUUUAGUGAUAUAUUUGACCGUACACCAUGCAAGAACCCAGUAGUUGUCCUCAAGGACAUUCAGUGUCAGGACCUAGAGUUUUUGUUGGACUAUAUGUACAUUGGGGAAGUUAAUGUAAGACAAAAUGAAUUGUCUUCUCUCAUUAAGGCAGCAGAAUGUCUCAGAAUAAAAGGUUUGGCUGUGCCAGAUGAGGAACCUAAAAAAAGUGUAACUAGUAGUGGCAGUGCAAGCGGUGUGCCUCAGAGUAGACAGCGGCCAGAACAAGCCAGUCCUCCCGCUAAGAGACGCAGAGCGGACGAUCGUAGAGUCACUCCCGUCGGAACAGAACACAGCCCUGGCAGACCUCCAGGAGACGGCCCCGGCACCCCGGAACCGAGUGCCGGCCGUCAAGCCAGUGCUAGUGAAGUGGCCAACCCUCGAGAACAGCCAGAGGAGAAAGACACAGAAAUAAGUAUAGAUCAACCCCCAGUGCUCAUUAAAGUGGAGCAACAGGACAACUUUGAACAGUCUGCUAAUGAUGAUUUUUUGUCAGUACAAAGUAAUAGUUACGAUGGUGGUGGGGGAGAGGAGGGUGACGGCCCACACAGCUCGGAGGGCAACACAAAUGACUUUCCCGAGUUUCUUCAGUCAACAAUAGAAAAGGAAGAGCCAGUUGCUAUGAGUGAUUUUAACCCAAGUGAUUUUCCUGGACCAUCUGGUCUACAGAAUAGUGGAAUGACCCCUUGGGAAAGUGAAAAUAAUUCUGCAGGCUUUGCGGAAGGUCUGUCUGGGGCGGUGGCAGCAGCUGUAGCGGCUGCUGCUCAGCCCCAGCAGCAGAGACAGCAACAACAGUUGUAUGGCAGCAGGACAAUGGGCGGUGUGCCUGGUGGCGUGCUUGAUCCUUCCACCCAGCGUCCUCCAGCCGACCAGCUUCUCCCUACACAGGCUCUGUCCACUUGGACUCACACACUGCCCACUCAGAGUCAUGAACAACCUCGCUUUUUUAAAUGCCCAUACUGUCAGCAUGUAACUCAGAAGAAAUUCAACUUAAUUAAGCACAUUAGGACUCACACUGGGGAAAGGCCAUACCAUUGUAAUCUUUGCCUAUAUUCUACUGGUGAUCCAAGCAACCUUAAGAGUCACUUUAAACUUAAACAUAAAAUGGUACAGGAAUGGACAAAAUAGUAUGUCAGGGGAGGGUUUCCUAUCAAGCAUACAUCACGGGGUUCCAUUAGAAGAUGGCUGGCGGGGAUUUAUGAGGUCUAUUUACCCUUUACGCUUCAUAACAUCCUUGGUGAGGAACAUAAAGUCACCGCCAGAGGCCUGCUGCUUGUAUCAUUACAGUCUCCGACUUUACCAUAAUGAGGGAACUUGUGUGUCUUUAAAAAUUUACAUGAAAUGUUAUACAAUAAACAAAAAUUCUUGAAUUUCUGUAAUAUGUAUACAAAAUUAAUAUAAUUGUAUUGUGCCUGUGCACAGGUCACUGUAUGGUGUAUUAAGUUUGUUUAGGUUCAGUGUACAGUAUUGAAAGAUUGUUUAAAUAACUGACAUUCAUUGUGUGAUUAAUAUGAUAUAAAAGAAGAAUUAUUGUUUAAAUGGUUGACAGUCAAGGUACAAUUAAUAUGUUAAAAAAAGAAUUAAUGUUUAAAUGUUCAUCAUGUCAUUAAUAUGAGAAGUGUAGAGUAAUGAUUAAAUGGUUGACAUUCACUGGUGAAGGACAGUAGCUAUAUUAUUUUAGAAGUAAAGAAAAUAUAUAGAAGAGGAAGAUUUAUAUAUAGAAUAUAUAUAAAUCUCUGAAAUUAUGUGCUUGAACUUUGUGUUUUCCCUCACCAUUAUUGUCAGCAGGUGUUGCUCUUGACCCAAGGUGUCAGCAGGUGUUGCUCUUGACCCAAGGUGUCAGCAGUUGUUGCUCUUGACCCAAGGUGUCAGCAGGUGUUGCUCUUGACCCAAGGUGUCAGCAGGUGUUGCUCUUGACUCAAGGUGUCAGGAGGUGUUGCUCUUGACCCAAGGUGUCAGCAGGUGUUGCUCUUGACCCAAGGUGUCAGCAGGUGUUGCUCUUGACCCAAGUGUCAGGAGGUGUUGCUCUUGACCCAAGGUGUCAGGAGGUGUUGCUCUUGACCCAAGGUGUCAGCAGGUGUUGCUCUUGACCCAAGGUGUCAGCAGGUGUUGCUCUUGACCCAAGGUGUCAGCAGGUGUUGCUCUUGACCCAAGGUGUCAGCAGGUGUUGCUCUUGACCCAAGGUGUCAGCAGGUGUUGCUCUUGACCCAAGGUGUCAGCAGGUGUUGCUCUUGACCCAAGGUGUCAGCAGUUGUUGCUCUUGACCCAAGGUGUCAGCAGGUGCAGGUGUUGCUCUUGACCCAAGGUGUCAGCAGGUGCAGGUGUUGCUCUUGAUCCAAGGUGUCAGCAGGUGUUGCUCUUGACCCAAGGUGUCAGCAGUUGUUGCUCUUGACCCAAGGUGUCAGCAGUUGUUGCUCUUGACCCAAGGUGUCAGCAGUUGUUGCUCUUGACCCAAGGUGUCAGAAGUUGUUGCUCUUGACCCAAGGUGUCAGAAGUUGUUGCUCUUGACCCAAGGUGUCAGCAGGUGUUGCUCUUGACCCAAGGUGUCAGCAGGUGCAGGUGUUGCUCUUGAUCCAAGGUGUCAGCAGUUGUUGCUCUUGACCCAAGGUGUCAGCAGUUGUUGCUCUUGACCCAAGGUGUCAGAAGUUGUUGCUCUUGACCCAAGGUGUCAGCAGGUGUUGCUCUUGACCCAAGGUGUCAGCAGGUGCAGGUGUUGCUCUUGACCCAAGGUGUCAGCAGGUGCAGGUGUUGCUCUUGAUCCAAGGUGUCAGCAGGUGUUGCUCUUGACCCAAGGUGUCAGCAGUUGUUGCUCUUGACCCAAGGUGUCAGAAGUUGUUGCUCUUGACCCAAGGUGUCAGCAGUUGUUGCUCUUGACCCAAGGUGUCAGCAGGUGCAGGUGUUGCUCUUGACCCAAGGUGUCAGCAGGUGUUGCUCUUGACCCAAGGUGUCAGGAGGUGUUGCUCUUGACCCAAGGUGUCAGCAGGUGUUGCUCUUGACCCAAGGUGUCAGCAGGUGUUGCUCUUGACCCAAGGUGUCAGCAGGUGUUGCUCUUGACCCAAGGUGUCAGCAGUUGUUGUUCUUGACCCAAGGUGUCAGCAGUUGUUGUUCUUGACCCAAGGUGUCAGCAGGUGUUGCUCUUGACCCAAGGUGUCAGCAGGUGUUGUUCUUGACCCAAGGUGUUAGCAGGUGUUGCUCUUGAUCCAAGGUGUCAGCAGGUGUUGUUCUUGACCCAAGGUGUCAGCAGGUGUUGUUCUUGACCCAAGGUGUCAGCAGGUGUGCUCUUGACCCAAGGUGUCAGCAGUUGUUGCUCUUGACCCAAGGUGUCAGCAGGUGUUGCUCUUGACCCAAGGUGUCAGCAGGUGUUGCUCUUGACCCAAGGUGUCAGCAGGUGUUGCUCUUGACCCAAGGUGUCAGCAGGUGUUGCUCUUGACCCAAGGUGUCAGCAGGUGUUGCUCUUGACCCAAGGUGUCAGCAGGUGUUGCUCUUGACCCAAGGUGUCAGCAGGUGUUUCUCCUGACACAAGUUAGCAAGUAAGAAAUUAAAUAUUAAACUGCUUUGGAUAUAUGGAGCUUAAUGAUUAUUUGAUGAAAAUGCAUGGAGAGACAUGGACAACGUUGAGGCCACAACACUUAAGGUGAAGGAUCAGUACCAAUAUUAGAGGUUGUCACAUGUUGUGUGGCUUGUGGUAAUGUUGUCGGCCUUAUAUAGACACCUUGUUGGUAGCAGGGAAGCUCUUGACCUUAAUAGUUGCUUGUAUGGUGGAGAUGUGUGGCAGGAAGGUGGAGGAGGAGUUGUAUGGUGGAGAUGUGUGGCAGGAAGGUGGAGGAGGAGUUGUAUGGUGGAGAUGUGUGGUCAGGAAGGUGGAGGAGGAGUUGUAUGGUGGAGAUGUGUGGCCAGGAAGGUGGAGGAGGAGUUGUAUGGUGGAGAUGUGUGGCCAGGAAGGUGGAGGAGGAGUUGUAUGGUGGAGAUGUGUGGUCAGGAAGGUAGUGGAGGAGUUGUAUGGUGGAGAUGUGUGGUCAGGAAGGUGGAGGAGGAGUUGUAUGGUGGAGAUGUGUGGCCAGGAAGGUGGAGGAGGAGUUGUAUGGUGGAGAUGUGUGGCCAGGAAGGUGGAGGAGGAGUUGUAUGGUGGAGAUGUGUGGUCAGGAAGGUGGAGGAGGAGUUGUAUGGUGGAGAUGUGUGGUCAGGAAGGUAGUGGAGGAGUUGUAUGGUGGAGAUGUGUGGCAGGAAGGUGGAGGUGGUGUUUGAGAUGUGGUUUCCUUGUUGCACAGUUAUUCUUUUCUGACUUCUCCACCUGUGUAACAAAUACCUUGAUUAAUAGAUUGAAUUAAAAACAAAUUCAUAAGAAAUAUAUGUCUGACAAAUUAAACAUUUUUACUUCAAAAUAGCAUGGAAGUUGGUAGCUGGUGAACUAGAGUGGUUCUUAUAGAGUUUCCCAAAUGUUUCAAGCACCUUAAUGUGUUAUGACCCAGUUGUUGUAAUAUACACUGAAUGAUAUUAUCAGAGCAUGUGUACACAUAUAUUGUGGCCUACUUGUGAAUUCCUUCCUUGUCAACUUGCCAGUCAAGCCUGGCCCUGGGCCAGGCUUGGGGAGUAGAAGAACUCCCAGAACCCCAACUAACAGGUUGUUCCUUGGGAAGUGUAGUGUGUGGUGGUUGACCAGAACCCCGUCACUCGCCCAUCUCCGUGUGCGCUGCUUGACAUAUUGUACACUUUGUGAAAUGGAGUAAGUCUGCUUUCAUCUCAAGACUAUUUAAUUAAGGAACAAAUGUUGCUCUUUUCUUUAAUUAUCAGAAUAUGAGCAUGUGGGACCAGUUUGGUUCGCUCAGAUGGUUGACUAUAAAGGGAUUCCUCCUCCGACAGUCAGUGAGAGGCAAAGUUUCUUCACUCAAUUCUUGGUUUGUCUUAUGUUUUACAAAUAUUUUCAAGGUAACAACUCCCUAUUUUAAUGGAGGUUUAACAAAAUUUUGUCCAGAAAAUGUUCAGCAUUUAGGUGAAGUUGUUCAUCAUGUCAGAGUUGGCUAAAGACUGUUCAGUACUAUAAGUUGAUAAGGAACUCCUUUUGCUGUAGUAAUAUCUUUACCCUGAAUACCAGCCUGUUCUUCCAGUUUGAAAGUUAUAUACAGUAUUUUCAUUUUAUGGUUUAUUGUAUAUAUAUAUUUAUUAUUUAAAUGUUAAUUAAUAAGCAUCAGCUGAUUUAUGUUUUGAGUCCAUUUCUAGUACUUGGAGACAAAAGUAUAAGAAGCCAGAAUAAUAAUUAUAAUCACUGCUCUUGGUCUAGUUGCAUUUUGCAUUUUAAUUUAGUGAUACACUUGGACAAAAGGUGGUUGUGUUCGAGUGUAUGAGUUAUGAAUGCCAUGUAUGGUAAGGAACAAGGGGGUUGUGUCCAGGUGUAUAGGGUCUAUCCUGUUUUGUCAUCUACAUAAUUGUUCUUGGCGGUAUUUGUUGAUAUUCAUGUAUUCCAGUUAUAAAGGAAUUCUAUGCCUGUGAGCAGAGCCUGAAGAUUAAGACCAGGAAUAUUGAAUGUAAUGGUUUAGUUGCUCUCCACAACAUGUUCCAAGCCUUAUCUGCUCAUUUACUUUAAUUCCAAUUUGAUUGCAAAAUAUUAUUUAUAAGAGAUGUCUUACCAUGAAACUAUGUUGAAGCAGACCUCAUGUUGAGUGUAUUACACAGAUCAGUAAGAGUAAAGACACCACUCAAAACACAAGAUGAAGUAGAAAAUAGUGUAAAGUAGUUGUUUUAUAUAUUUAAGAUAACAUAUUGACAGGCACUUUUCAUAUUGAAGAAUAUGUGUUCCAUAUAUUGCUAAUUAGUAUGUGUAGAGAGCAUAACACUAGUAACUCAUGUAGUAUAAAUGAAGGUGAAGAGCAAGUACAGUUUACUAUAAACACUAGAAAGAGA
rnacentral:misc_RNA from 1 species